CACCCCCGCGUGUAAAAACCUGGGGGUCUUUGGGGGACGGGAAAAUCCUCCUGGGCCCCCGGAAAGGGGGGUUUCCCCCCAAAAAACUUUUGGGGUCGCCUCAAGGUAAGAAUUGGGGGGUAAGCCCCUUAUUUCCUUGGGGGUUUUCCCCUCCCAAAGGUUUUCAACUUCGAAGGCCUUCUUUUUAACUUGGGAUCCGAUUGGGGGUGAUUAGAUUUAUAGUUGAAAGGGCAACCGCCCCAGAUUGUCAGUAAGGUCCCCUAAAGUAAGGUAAGUGGUAAAGGAUGUGGAUGCCACAGACAACCCAGGAUGUGGCUUAGAAGCAGCCAUUCAUUCAAAGAGUGCGUAAUAGCUCACUGGUCGAGUGAUCUGCCGCCGGAGAUUCCGGGGGUUAAAACUUACUACCGAAGCUAGGGCAUCAGUANUGAUGGGUAGGGGAGCUCCCCAUACGGGUUGAAGCAUGACCGUAAGGACAUGUGGACAGUAUGGGAGUGAGAAUGUUGGCAUGAGUAGCGAGAUGUGGUNGAGAAUCCCACAGGCCGUAAACCCAAGGUUUCCAGGGGAAGGUUCGUCCGCCCUGGGUUAGUCGGGACCUAAGCUGAGGCCGAAAGGCGUAGGUGAUGGACAACAGGUUGAUAUUCCUGUACUACCGAUAACCGUNUGAGAGAUGGGAUGACACAGUAGGAUAAGCUAAGCACACUGUUGGUUAUGUGUGCCCAAGCAUUGAGGCAGUCAAAGUAGGUAAAUCCGCUUUGAUAAUGCUGGGAUGUGAUGGGGAGCGAAAUUUAGUAGCGAAGUAGCUGAUUUCACACUGUCAAGAAAAGUCUCUAUCGAGGUUAAAGGUACCCGUACCGCAAACCGACACAGGUGGGUGAGGAGAGUAUCCUAAGGCCAGCGAGAGAACUGUUGUUAAGGAACUCGGCAAAAUGACCCCGUAACUUAGGGAUAAGGGGUGCCACCAUCAGGUGGCCGCAGAGAAUAGGCCCAAGCGACUGUUUACCAAAAACAUAGGUUUCUGCUAAGUCGCAAGACGAUGUAUAGGAGCUGACGCCUGCCCGGUGCUGGAAGGUUAAGGGGAUCUGUUAGAGCAAUCGAAGCAGUGAACUUAAGCCCCAGUAAACGGCGGCCGUAACUAUAACGGUCCUAAGGUAGCGAAAUUCCUUGUCGGGUAAGUUCCGACCCGCACGAAAGGCGUAACGAUUUGGGCACUGUCUCAACAACAGACUCGGUGAAAUUGUAAUUCCGGUGAAGAUGCCGGAUACCUGCGACAGGACGGAAAGACCCCAUGGAGCUUUACUGUAGCUUGACAUUGGGUCUUGGUACUACAUGUACAGGAUAGGUGGGAGGCUUUGAAACCAGGACGCCAGUUUUGGCGGAGCCAUCCUUGGGAUACCACCCUUGUAGUACUGGGACUCUAACCAUAGGCCAUGAAUCUGGUCUUGGGACACUGUCAGGUGGGCAGUUUGACUGGGGCGGUCGCCUCCCAAAAGGUAACGGAGGCGCUCAAAGGUUCUCUCAGUACGGUCGGAAAUCGUACGUAGAGUGUAAAGGCAAAAGAGAGCUUGAUUGCAAGACAUACAGGUCGAGCAAGGAUGAAAAUCGGACUUAGUGAUCCGGUGGUUCUGCGUGGAAGGGCCAUCGCUCAACGGAUAAAAGCUACCCUGGGGAUAACAGGCUUAUCUCCCCCAAGAGUCCACAUCGACGGGGAGGUUUGGCACCUCGAUGUCGGCUCAUCACAUCCUGGGGCUGUAGUAGGUCCCAAGGGUUGGGCUGUUCGCCCAUUAAAGUGGUACGCGAGCUGGGUUCAGAACGUCGUGAGACAGUUCGGUCCCUAUCCGUCGCAGGCGUAGGAAAUUUGAGAAGACCUGUCCUUAGUACGAGAGGACCGGGAUGGACGUACCUCUGGUGUACCAGUUGUUCUGCCAAGGGCAUGGCUGGGUAGCUAUGUACGGAAUGGAUAAGCGCUGAAAGCAUCUAAGCGCGAAGCCAACUUCAAGAUAAGAUUUCCCACCGCAAGGGUAAGACCCCAGAAAGACUAUCUGGUUGAUAGGUCGAAGGUGUAAGUGCAGCAAUGUAUUUAGCUUAUCGAUACUAAUAGGUCGAGGACUUGACC
rnacentral:rRNA from 1 species